UGAGGAGGGGCAAGCAGCCCCUUUUAUAGUGAGUCAGGCACACCUGGCUGUUGCCAGGUAACUGUGAGGAGGAGCCUAGAAAGAAUGCUGACAGCAUCGACCUGCUUGCACACUCAGGACACCUCAUUCUCAUUCGCACUGGGGCCCCGGUCUCCCCCUCAGCCUCUGCCAGGGCCCUGCUUCUCCAUCCCCUCUUUUUUCCUCUUUUUGUGUGGAUCAUGCUGGUACAUGAAACAUCUCAUCUGCCUCCUUCUAAAAGGUUCUCUGUGGAAACCUGCUAGAGACAGUGGUUUUCAGCCUUCCUAAUGCUGUGACCCUUUAGUUCCUCCUGUUGUGGUGACCCCCCCCACCCAUAAAAUUAUUUUUGUUGUUACUUCAUAACUGUAAUUUAGCUAUUGCUAUGAACUGUGAUGUAAACAUCUAUGUUUUUCAACCCUCUUAGGAUGCCCCUUAUGAAAGGGUCAGUCAACCCCAAAGGGGCUGCGACCCACAGGUUGAGAACCACUCUACUAGGCGGAUGCUUGGAGCCAACCAUCAGGCUGAGCUCAGGGAACUUGGUGGGGGCACUGGCAGAAGGACUGGAGGAGCGGAGGGCGAUUGCAACACCAUUGGAAGAACAGCCUAGGUUGGCCUGAAGACCCAGUUCUCCCAGAGACUACACCACCAACCAAGAAUCUCAUCCGUCUCCUGAGCCUGACUCUGAUGGUCUCGUCCACCUUGGUCACCAAGAGCAGGUGUGAAGUCAGCUCUGCCAUGUGUCCUCCUAGCUCCAGUGAGAAAGCUGCACCAGAUGACCUUGCGUUGACCUUCAAUAUCAUUAUUUACUUGAAGAAGGAACCAGCAGAACUCGCUGAAAAUGGACUGAACAGAGUUCAACGACUGGAGAAUUUUAUGCCCCCCCCCUUUAUUAAUAAUUCUGCUGUCACCAAAUACGAUGAGAAUAGAGUCUCGUGAGUGCCGCUUUUGACACAUUUUUGAAGUACGUCUUUUUCACGGAAAGAACUAUCUGCUUUCCACAUCAAUAAAGCAUAUUUACAUGUUUCCCAGGCGCCACGCGGCAGAGAACGAAAUCCACUUCACAUCCCAUCUGAUUGCGCGUACUCCUUCAUGCAUCUGCGAUUGCGCGUACUCCAUCACGCAUUCUGCGAAUGCGCAUACUCCUUCAAGCAUCUGCCCACGUCACUGUUUCUCAUCUUCUCCGUGAAUAGUUCAUCAAAGACCCUGUUCUGCUUCGGAGUGAAGUAGUUUAUCCAAUCACCCACCACUCCUGGAAAGACAGGAAAUGUAUCAGGCAAGAAUCAGUCUCUACCCACAACACUGACGGAAGAACUCUGCCAGCUUUGCGAUCAAAUGGGAGUGUUUGGUCUCUUCUGUGAGGGCUGCAUAUUAAUUUCCACAGUUUAUAACUAUUUAUUUAGAGAAAGAUUUAAAAUAAAUAAAUAUUUUUUUCUGGAGUAGGCCAGGACGAUCUAGUCUAAAUGUGACCCAGUAGUGUGAGCACAAAGGUAGCUCAUUGGUUUGCCCCCUUGCGAGCUUGCACAGUGAGAGCUGGUCUGAGACUGCACCGUAGGAAUGGGUAGCUCACCUUAAUUUCAGAAAUGUCUUUUCUAUAGAAUGAAUAGUGGAGAACAAUAAACAUACAGAAGUUUUCCAUACAAA